GAUGAACGCUAGCUACAGGCUUAACACAUGCAAGUCGAGGGGCAGCAUGAACAUAGCUUGCUAUGUUUGAUGGCGACCGGCGCACGGGUGCGUAACACGUAUCCAAUCUGCCCGUUACUCGGGGAUAGCCUUCUGAAAGGAAGAUUAAUACCCGCUAGCAUUCAUUGGCGGCAUCGCCUUUGAAUUAAAGAUUUAUCGGUAACGGAUUGGGAUGCGUACGAUUAGCUAGUUGGCGGGGUAACGGCCCACCCAGGCGACGAUCGUUAGGGGUUCUGAGAGGAAGGUCCCCCACACUGGAACUGAGACACGGUCCAGACUCCUACGGGAGGCAGCAGUGAGGAAUAUUGGUCAAUGGGCGAGAGCCUGAACCAGCCAAGUAGCGUGAAGGAUGACUGCCCUACGGGUUGUAAACUUCUUUUGUCUGGGAAUAAAAGACGCUACGUGUAGCGUUCUGCAUGUACCUUACGAAUAAGCAUCGGCUAAUUCCGUGCCAGCAGCCGCAGUAAUAC
rnacentral:rRNA from 1 species